ACGCUUGAAGUCAGUCGCGUUGGCCGGGGAUCAACCUUGCUCUUUUGCUUGGUGUACUUUCCGGUCGACGGGUCAGCAUCAAUUUUGACUGGUGGAUAAAGGUCAAGGGAAUGUGGCAUCUUCGGAUGUGUUAUAGCCCUUGGUUGUAUACAUCAGUUGGGAUUGAGGAACUCAGCACGCCGCAAGGCCGGGUUUUUAACCACGUUCGUGCUUAGGAUGCUGGCAUAAUGGCUUUAAUCGACCCGUCUUGAAACACGGACCAAGGAGUC
rnacentral:rRNA from 1 species